UCGAUCCACCCUUCAUUCUUCUAAAUCGAACUAGUUCACAAAUUCGCUCUCUUUCCGUCGAACACAGUUCCCUUUACCUCAUCUUCUCAAACUGGAUUCGGUUUGAUCUCAAUUCGAUCUCCUUCCAUUCGCAUCACAUAUUGAUUCCAGGAUCAUCAACUAUAAUAUCACAAUGUAGUCCACAGGAGAACAUGCUUUCUCAAAUUCAUUCAAUCGAGAUUAUGAAUCCUCUCACAGACAGACUUCAAGACAUCCUCUCAAGACAACAUCAUUGCUGAGUAAAGGGGAAACGCCGUUGCCUCACACAAAAGUUUUGAAAGAUCUGUAAGGUUCAAUGGAGGAUUUGAGGCUGGUUAAAUAUGACCAAGGUGAGAAUAAUGGUCAAGGAGAUUGGGACCUUAUGGUCAGUUUCCAGAACAUGAACCAGCAAAUAUUCAACUCUGGAGGCUUUGAGAGUUGUGAUUGUUUUUCUUUAUCAGAAAUUUGAUCGUUAUGGAACGAGAAUUCGUUUAGUUUGAAGUUAUAUAUGAACCUGGGUAUCAAAAGGGUGGUGUUGUUUCUAGAGUAAUGGUUGGCUGAAAAAAAACAUUCUGGAUUUUUUGUGGGGUUUCAGAAUUUGGUAUUUUGCUCCUGAUAAUUUCAUGGAUUUUAAAGAUGGAGAAGAUUCCAUGCCAAAGAAACUUACACAUGCGCGGAUGACUGGAAAGAGAGAUGUCCCCUAUGCUAUCCAAGACAAUCCUAACAUGGCGCAACUUCGCCUAGGUUUAGGCAGGAACCAAAAUACAUGGACGAGCAGCCCCAUUCGAGAUAGAAGAAGGGGAGAUGAUUGCUAGCAGGGUUCUCAAUUCAAUACAGGACAUGAUGAGGUUGAUACAAAGUCCUCAUAUAAGAUGAAGUUGGAAAUACCAACCUAUGAUGGGAAGAUUAACAUCGAAGGGCCUUCAGAUUAUGUUGCUGCUAUUGAAGACUUCUUCGAGUGCACGGAGAUUCCUGAAUCUGGACAGGUAAAAUUGGUGUUUUACAAGCUAAAAGGAGGAACUGCAUCUUGGUGUGGGCAAACUGUUCACUAUAGGAGAAUUCGGGGUGAAUCGAUGGUCACUUCUUGGAGCCAAAUGCGACGUCUUAUGAGAGCUCGAUUCCUCCCUAUUGACUAUGCACAGAAGCUUUUCCGAAGUUAUCAACAAUGCUGACAAUGAAAGAGUUCAGCUGACGAGUAUACGGAAAUUUUGCAGAUUGGGUUCGAGAGUUAAUCUUCCGGAGACUGAUGGACGACAAGUUAGUGUUAUUUAAGCAGGUUGGAUCCUGAACUUAAAGAGGCGCUUUACCUCCAUCAAAUACAAACAGUCACUGAAGCUGUAAGUCUAGCUCAAAGGACUGAAUUGCAGCCUAAGAUGUUCACAGAAACUACGGGUGAGACGAAGCAAACCGAACCAGCACUUAAAGCGACACCAAUGGAGUUAUUGGUAACACCGGCCGCCUACCUAUCAGCCACCACAAUUACCAGAGGUACCUAAAAUCGACGCUUCUAGGGCCAAGAAAGGUAAUAAUCCUUAUGAACCUUGGUGGGGCAAAUGGGAUGCCAGGACAUCACUCGAAUGAAUGUCGACGACAAGUAGGACUAGUCGAAGGCGAAGACGGUAAAGCGACAGACACGAAACUAUAUGAAGAAGAAGAAGCUAUUGAUUGUGUCUAUGCUGAUGACCCCAGGGGCGUAUUGUGGUGCGAAAAGUAGUCCAAUGUGAAGGAAAGAACAUGAAAGAACUCCUUGUUCCCAAAGUACUUGAAGAAUCUCGAAGGAAAAUAUUGUUCAUGUUCAAAGGCAUUAUCCUAGAAAAGGUAUGUGAUUUUGUUUCGUGGGGAUUACUUCGAGAACCCGGCUUACCAACAGAGCCACACCCACACCCUUGUCGUGUUGGUUGGAUCAAAAUCAGGCUCGCAACAAGGAUUGAAAGGGUCUGUAAAAUUCCAAUUGUUUUUGGAAGGGUUCACGCGUCAGUAUCCUUGGUAACGUAAUAGACAGGGAUCCAUGUCAUGUCAUUCUGGCAGACCAUGGCAAAGCAAACAUAUAUGAGUUAUUACUGGAGAGGAACAAAACUGCUACUGUUACUAACCAAGAAACACCCAAGUCAGGGUUACAAGAGUACUUUAUAAGCAACACUGUCAGCGUCUGUUAUGAUGCUGCAGCUGUAGUGUAUUCAUGUCGCUCAAGACUCGAUGUUCAUGUGUUUGCUCCUGACUCCAGAGUGUACUCAAUGUGCUUGUGGCUGCUCCUGCCUCCAGAGUUUUACCGCAAUGCACCUUUCAAUCUGUAUCGUAACAUGUGCAAAGUCAGUGAUUUCUUUGCAGAAACUUUUCUUCUUAUCUGUAUGUCCAAGUUGAAUGCAAUUUCGUACCUGAAGGUUUCCUUGUGGGAUUUUGCUAUCCUCGAAGACAUACUCAGUGGCUCUGAAGUUGGUCUUUAAAUUCGGAUUCGCAAAGUGAUGCAAGUCCCUGAUUGUAUAUUGUCUGACAUUGUUUUGAAAAGCAGGCCUUGUGCAUACAGAUUUCCACAAAGUUCCAUCUGGAUGUCUGCGAUUAGGGAGAACACUGUUGACAGUUCUCCUAAA